UGGUGGAGUGAUUUGUCUGGUUAAUUCCGUUAACGAACGAGACCUUAGCCUACUAACUAGUCGGGGCUCAAAUCCUAGAUUGACUUCCGACUUCUUAGAGGGACUUUGUACCAAAUACAAGGAAGUUUGUAGGCAAUAACA
rnacentral:rRNA from 1 species